UUGUCUCAAAGAUUAAGCCAUGCAUGUCUCAGUACAAGCCAAAUUAAGGUGAAACCGCGAAAGGCUCAUUAAAUCAGUUAUGGUUCCUUAGAUCGUACCCACAUUUACUUGGAUAACUGUGGUAAUUCUAGAGCUAAUACAUGCAAACAGAGCUCCGACCGGAAACGGAAGGAGCGCUUUUAUUAGAACAAAACCGAUCGGUGGCGGUCUCCGACCGUCAUCGUACAAUUUGGUGACUCUGAAUAACUUUAAGCUGAUCGCACGGUCUCGCACCGGCGACGCAUCUUUCAAAUGUCUGCCUUAUCAACUGUCGAUGGUAGGUUCUGCGCCUACCAUGGUUGUAACGGGUAACGGGGAAUCAGGGUUCGAUUCCGGAGAGGGAGCCUGAGAAACGGCUACCACAUCCAAGGAAGGCAGCAGGCGCGCAAAUUACCCACUCCCGGCACGGGGAGGUAGUGACGAAAAAUAACGAUACGGGACUCAUCCGAGGCCCCGUAAUCGGAAUGAGUACACUCUAAACCCUUUAACGAGGAUCAAUUGGAGGGCAAGUCUGGUGCCAGCAGCCGCGGUAAUUCCAGCUCCAAUAGCGUAUAUUAAAGUUGUUGCGGUUAAAAAGCUCGUAGUCGAAUCUGUGUCCCGCGCCGCCGGUUCAUCGUUCGCGGUGUUAACUGGCGUGCCGCGGGACGUCCUGCCGGUGGGCUUAGCUCGAGAGGGCGGCCCAACUCAAUCCCGCCGCGGUGCUCUUCAUUGAGUGUCGAGGUGGGCCGGCACGUUUACUUUGAACAAAUUAGAGUGCUUAAAGCAGGCUAAAACUUCGCCUGAAUACUGUGUGCAUGGAAUAAUGGAAUAGGACCUCGGUUCUAUUUUGUUGGUUUUCGGAACCCCGAGGUAAUGAUUAAUAGGAACGGAUGGGGGCAUUCGUAUUGCGACGUUAGAGGUGAAAUUCUUGGAUCGUCGCAAGACGGACAGAAGCGAAAGCAUUUGCCAAAAACGCUUUCAUUGAUCAAGAACGAAAGUUAGAGGUUCGAAGGCGAUCAGAUACCGCCCUAGUUCUAACCAUAAACGAUGCCAGCUAGCGAUCCGCCGACGUUCCUCCGAUGACUCGGCGGGCAGCUUCCGGGAAACCAAAGCUUUUGGGUUCCGGGGGAAGUAUGGUUGCAAAGCUGAAACUUAAAGGAAUUGACGGAAGGGCACCACCAGGAGUGGAGCCUGCGGCUUAAUU
rnacentral:rRNA from 1 species